UUCGGGUAAAAUGUUAAUGAUGAACCAAAAGAAGUUUCGGACUCAACAUGCAAAAUAAAAUGAAUCUUUCUGUGCUGAAACUGUGAGUUGAAAAGAAGACCUCUGUAUUAGUCUGUCCAAGCUGCCAUAACAAAAUACCAUAGACUGCGUGGCUUACACAGCAGAAAUUAAUUUUCUCACAGUUCUGGGGACUGGAAGUCUAAGAUCAAGGUGCCAGCAGACUUGGUGUCUGGUAAAGGCUCUCUCCUUGGUUUGCAGACGCUGCCUUCUCACUGUGUCCUCACAUGGAGGGGCGUGGGCAGCUCUCUGGUAUCUCUUCUUAAAGGACACCAGUCCUCUGGGAUCAAAG